UACGUAGGGGGCAAGCGUUGUCCGGAUUUACUGGGCGUAAAGAGCGCGUAGGCGGAACGUUAAGCGGGGCCGGAAAGCCCCCGGCUCAACCGGGGAAGGGGCCGCGAACUGGCGUUCUUGAGGGGGAGAGGGGAGAGCGGAAUUCCUGGUGUAGCGGUGAAAUGCGUAGAGAUCAGGAGGAACACCAAUGGCGAAGGCAGCUCUCUGGCUUCACCCUGACGCUGAGACGCGAAAGCGUGGGGAGCGAACAGG
rnacentral:rRNA from 1 species